UGGGGAAUAUUGGACAAUGGGGGCAACCCUGAUCCAGCAAUGCCGCGUGUGUGAAGAAGGCCUGCGGGUUGUAAAGCACUUUCAGUAGAGAAGAAAAGCCUAAGGUUAAUAACCUUGAGUCUUGACGUAACCUACAGAAGAAGCACCGGCUAACUCCGUGCCAGCAGCCGCGGUAAUACGGAGGGUGCAAGCGUUAAUCGGAAUUACUGGGCGUAAAGCGCACGUAGGUGGUUUUGUAAGUCGGAUGUGAAAGCCCUGGGCUCAACCUGGGAAUUGCAUUCGAUACUGCUUAACUAGAGUAUGGUAGAGGGAAGUGGAAUUUCCGGUGUAGCGGUGAAAUGCGUAGAUAUCAGGAGGAACACCCAUGGCGAAGGCAGCACUCUGGGCUGGUAUUGACGCUGAGGAGCGAAAGCAUGGGUAGCGAACAGGAUUAGAUACCCUUGUAGUCCCUGAGCGGGCUGGCAAGGCGCAU
rnacentral:rRNA from 1 species